rnacentral:tRNA from 1 species
CAGGGAGACAACAAAAUGUUUAAUAUUAUUAUUUUGUCACCUUAGGUCGAUCGGUAUCUCACGUUUUUAAUUUAUUAAGAAUUUCAUUUCCUAAGUUUUUCUAGGUCACACCCAUUAUUUUUCCUGGGCCAUUAGCUCAGGUGGUUAGAGCGCACCCCUGAUAAGGGUGAGGUCCCUGGUUCAAGUCCAGGAUGGCCCAUAUCUCUAUGUUGGGGGUAUAGCUCAGUUGGUAGAGCGCCUGCUUUGCAAGCAGGAUGUCAGCGGUUCGAGUCCGCUUACCUCCACUGAUUACCACCUCUUCCAUAAUUUGAAGAAAGGAAAUUUUUUGAGUUGUGAUCAAAUUCUGAACGAAUCUAGCUUCCUAAUGAAUCCAUUAAGAUGCUGGACUCAUUGAAUUAAUUUUCAUUGUUUUCAGAGAACCUUGACAACUGCAUAGAUUAUUUUUAAAGACAAUAAGCAUCUUUAAUGAUGCAGAUUUAUUAUUUGUGCGAAUGCAUUAAUAACAAUUCUAUUAAGCUGAUGCUUCAAUUUAAUGAAGUUAUU